rnacentral:rRNA from 1 species
UACGGGGGGAGCAAGCGUUGUUCGGAUUUACUGGGCGUAAAGGGCGCGUAGGCGGUCGUGACAAGUCACUUGUGAAAUCUCCGGGCUUAACUCGGAACGGUCAAGUGAUACUGUCGGACUAGAGUACAGAAGGGGCAACUGGAAUUCUCGGUGUAGCGGUGAAAUGCGUAGAGAUCAUGAGGAAGACCAGUGGCGAAGGCGGGUCUCUGGACAGUUCCUGACACUGAGACACGAAGGCCAGGGGAGCAAACGGG